UAAAAAGAAUAAUAAUUUUUUAAUUUUUAAUAAUUUUUUGCCUUAAAAUCAACUUAAUUAAAAUCAACUUAAAAACAGGCUGGACUUCCCUUUUAAUAGGUUAUACUUCCAGUAUGGCUCCAAUAUGACCAGCAACUUGGAAAUACUCCAGACAUAUUCAAACUCAUUUCAACAUGGGGGAGAGGGGUAAACCCAGAAUGAUAUAGAGACCACCUCAGCCAUGCAAAACUCUAACCAUGGCAUGAAGCUUCAAGUACCUUCGUACAUGUAGCUCAUGCAUGCUAUACCCUUGCAGUGAAUAUCAUCACAAGAACAUCCCAAUCAAAAUCUGCUGCCCUCUCUCGGCGCCUUCCCGCCAGGUUGAACCUCCGCCUCAAAAUGUCAACGAGAAGCUGUAUGUGGUAAUACACUGCAGCUGCCUGAGCUGAGUGGUACUCUCUCCUUCGUAUUCAUGCUCUGUAAUGCAAUGCAGUGCAUGAAUACACAUAAUCAAAGGGGCUAGCACAGUGUGAGAAUGCACAUAAUUGGAAAGCUAAGUGUAAUCACAUACAAACACUACAUGUUGUCCAUAUGUACACAUAUAGUGCGGUCAAAUUAUGUCUAGCAUUUCCUACAUCACGCUGUUAUGUACGUACAGUGUGUCUGAGAUUGACCUAAAAUGUGAAUCAAAUAUUUUAUCAUCAUUUAUAAUGGUUAUCCUUUUUUUGAUUUUUUAAGAAUAAAUAUUUUUCUCCAUAAAUUUGACAGACCUGAUGCAAUCACAACAAAAGCAUGAAGUAAUUAUCACAAAAGGUUAUUACAUUUGAUUGUAUAUUCAUCUCCAUUUAAAAGGGUUCCUAUUUUCUACACCUGUUUAGUUUAAAAAUGGUGUCAUCUCAAAUCAAAUUGAAUUUAUACCUCCUAUAUUUGGGCUUAUUGCACUUAUAUGGAUAAAAUAGUGCAUUAGUAUUUUUUUUAAUGUCUUUGUAGGUAUGCUAUCUUACCCUAAUUUCUUUUCUUUUUUUGGGGGGGGGGGAAGGAAAGAUUUUUAUUUGUUUUUGUUUUUGGUAGGAUCAUUACAAAAUAAAACUGCAUAAUUUACAUAUAUGUCAAAUUUAUGUACAAGUGAAAUGCAUCUGUGACACCACCACACUGCUAAUUUGAAGAUUAUAAAAGCUAGUAAUCACAUUUUACCUCUGAAACAUAUACUAGAAAAUUAUCAUUUAUUGACAAGUUGAUUUUUAGAGUUAUGUAAAGCAGAAAAUGAUAUUGAAAAUAGACUGAAAACAGAUCACUGCAAUUUGGGGAAAGAACAAAGGUAUAAAUGAUUAAGAAAAUGUUAAGCUUAAUACAUACACAAAUAUAAGGAGGAAUUGUAUAAAAUCAAGUUGUGUAAAAUAUUAUACAAUGACAUUCAUCUUGUGGUUUGUUAUGUCCUUUUGAUAGUAAAGAGAAGAUUCUCCCACAAAAUUUCAUAACUUUUUUUGUAUGCUUGCAAGUAGCAGUAGUAUGAGGUUUAAGAUAUACUUUUGUUCAACAUGAUCGUAAAAUAGGGUUCAGGUUCAACUAAAUUGAAAUAUUACAUAUAGGUCCCAAUAUAUUUUAAUUUGAUCUUGAUCUUUAUGGUAUAAAUAUUGUACAGCACACAAACUUUACAUUUUUAAGUCUUAUUGUGCAUAGAAAACUGUUACCUUGUAGCAAAUGAUUGAUGGUGAAGCCACACAAAAUGCAUGAAGGUUAAAAAACAAUACUAUAAUUCCACAUGUGGGUGAGAGGGGGUUGUAGAUAUUAAUUAAAUGCCCAAAUGUCAUGAUUCAUAAGACAAGGAUUUGAAACUCACUUCCGUAUGAUUAGAAAACACUUUUUAUUUUUCAUGUCUGAACUGUUUGUCCAAGAACCCCCAAAACACUGCUGUAUUCUUCAAAGAGCUAUAGUUAUAAAAAUUUCUAUGCUUUCAGUUGAUGAAUAUUCAUAAUGAAUUAAAAGAUUUUCACUAAACUAAUCUACAGUGCACAAUGUUGUCUAAACAUAAUUCAAAUUGAAGCCAUCAUUUUUCCCCUGUUAUUCAAUCAUGUCUUUUUUGCCAAGUACCGUCUCAUGUAGAUUUCAAGUACCGUAUAGCUUCUCAGGUUUUUUGAAAUAUGUUUAAUGGAAAAGAAUAAUACACAGUUUCAAUGAGUUGUUCCUUUAUCUUAUCCUUUUCCUGACCUCGUUGGUUUGGAGGUUCAGAAUUUUCUGCAGGUACUCUCAGCUUGUAAUUGAAUCCAAUACAUUGGCCAUGAAGAAACAUGGAGGAUGGAUAGCGUGCAGAUAAACGCUUUCAUUUAUCUGCGGCGGCGUGCAGCAAGGUGUACUUCAGACAGAAAUCAGGAUAGGGGUCCCAUAAAAGGUGGAGACAUGUUAAUAGACAUAGUACAUGUAUGUGUCUUCUGGUGCAUGCAUUUGUUUGUAACAUUUUUCAUGUAUGUAAUUUUUUUACAGAGUGGGAACUUUCACCCUUCUCCUUGUAAAACUUGCAUAAUUUUCCCUUAAUGUCUAUUGAAAAUAAGGAGGGGUUUAUUAACGUCUGUGUUAAUAUGACACUCUGAUCAGCUAUUUUCUCCAAAUAUCACUUGAAAACCAGAAGGAACUUUAAUCAUAUUAAAGUAACAUGUGUUAUGCUUAAUGCGCCCUUCCUGGUCAAAGCAAAUGGUGAAAGUAUAUGUUGACUGAAUAUUCAGACUAUUGACUGCUGAUAGCAAAAUGGACAUUGACUCAUAUACCAUUAUAUAUAGGACUUAC